CUAACUGGAAUCAUGAGUGUGUCACUCAUGACCGAAUAAGGAAAAAUAAUGAUAACACUUAUUAGAGUAGUCUUGUCCAAAACUGGUGCCAGAAGACUCGGUAAUGCCAGAGAGACAAGCGUUAAUCAUCUUGAUCAGGCGUAAAGGGUUUGUAGGCAGCUUUAAUAAAUUAAAGAUUGAAUCAAAUAGAAGUUAAGAGAAUUCCUAGAUUAGGGUUGAUAUCUGUAUAAACUAGGAAGAAUACUAAAUAGCGAAGGCACUUUUCUAUCUAAUGAUUGACGCUGAGAAACGAAGGGGAGGAUCGAAAACAGGAU
rnacentral:rRNA from 1 species